rnacentral:ribozyme from 1 species
GGGCGGAAGCACCGCCCACCGUAAUGCAGCCUACCACGGUAGCCAGUCCCAAGCCUGGGAAAAUGCAGAGGGCGGA